UCGAAUGACAAAAAAUAACCUGGAAACAUGUGGCAGCUGGAAAAAAAAUUCACGAGAUCUAUAUGGAGUUCUGCACGAAACUUUUCUACAAUCUUUUGUGCCCUUGCCAUAAUAUGAAUACCUAAUGACCUUUUAUUCUGCUACUUACCAGAUGAAGAUGAUAUGGCAUGACUCCUCUGGAAAUUCUGGUGCGGCUAGGAUGAAGAAAAUGUCCUCAGAUUCAUUUAAUAAAUGGGCUGAGUGGAAGUAAUGACACUCAAUUUUGGUGAUUCUAUGUUCAUGUGUAUUGCAAUUAUGCCAUAGGUAGCAAAUUCAAUCACAAUGAGGUGACAUUGAAGAGGAUAGAAGUCAUGAAAAGCUAUGUCAAAAGCAUAAAGGUAAUGCAAACUAGUACAUGCUUGCCCAGUGAUGAUAUGAUGCUGAGUGCAUUUACGAUUCAAUCUUUGACUUGAGGGAAGUCUUCAUCAACAGCUCCCGAGUCAUGUAUGAGACUGCUUUCACGUGGUUUGGAUAUUUCGAUGAAAUUAAAGUGAACAGUUGAAUGUCAAGUUUCACUUGAAGUCACCAUAUAAGCUACUGGAUUGAGAUUGUUAUAAUUUAUCUCUGACUUGUUAACUAAAAUAUGGUUGAUAGACGAUCCUGUCUCUAUAAAGAAUAAAACUGUUAAUGGAUGUUGGGGAAAAUCUGUAUUUUGGGGCAUGACAGGCUCUUCUUCCUUUCUUUACUGCAUCAGAGUGCUAGCCAAUUUUCUUCCCCUAAUUAACAAUGUCUACAUGUGGCUAAGACAUGUUCGCAUGGUUGGUGUAAUAACUUGUAAGUGUUUUUUUUUAGUCGAUGUUACUUUUUGCAAACACUUACAUUGGUAUCUUAACAUUUCUGGUGUGUGAUAGUAGUGUUUUUAUUUUAA